rnacentral:misc_RNA from 1 species
AAAAGAUCCAAUCCCGACGUUUUCGUGUCGGCAACACGGUUUCGUCGGCUGCCGGAAUAGCGACACUCUGAAAAAGUAUACUAAUUUUCAAUUCAACCGUCCAAAUUUCAGCUCGAUUUCAUCGACCACACGCCAAUUAGAGUGUCAAAAUGUUACAACAUAUACCUUCCCUCUCACACUAAUCUUCCCAGCUCUUCAAUUUUCUCCCGAUUUCCCUCUUUCUAUCUGUAUUUUAUGUCUACUUUUCUGGGUUUUUGCUUCUUUGUCUUCUUUUUCCCCCAAUUUCUUUAGACCCCAUCAAAGAUUUUGUCCCAAAAUCCACUGAAGCUCGCUCAGAGUAGCUCAAAUGGCGUUUGUGCUAGGUCUUGUGCUGGG